AAGGGGAGCAAUCCCUGAGUAGAGUGGCAAACGGGUGAGUAACACGUGGGUGACCUGCCUUCGAGUGGGGGAUAACGUCCCGAAAGGGACGCUAAUACCGCAUGACAUCCUGCUUUUGGAAAAGCGGAGAUCAAAGCUGGGGAUCGCAAGACCUGGCGCUUGAAGAGGGGCCCGCGCCUGAUUAGCUAGUUGGUGGGGUAAUGGCUCACCAAGGCUACGAUCAGUAUCCGGCCUGAGAGGGCGGACGGACACACUGGGACUGAGACACGGCCCAGACUCCUACGGGAGGCAGCAGUGGGGAAUUGUUCGCAAUGGGCGCAAGCCUGACGACGCAACGCCGCGUGGAGGACGAAGAUCUUCGGG
rnacentral:rRNA from 1 species